rnacentral:rRNA from 1 species
GACGAACGCUGGCGGCGUGCUUAACACAUGCAAGUCGUACGGUAAGGCCCUUUCGGGGGUACACGAGUGGCGAACGGGUGAGUAACACGUGAGUAACCUGCCCACAACUUUGGGAUAACGCUAGGAAACUGGUGCCAAUACUGGAUAUGUGCUCCUGCUGCAUGGUGGGGGUUGGAAAGCUCCGGCGGUUGUGGAUGGACUCGCGGCCUAUCAGCUUGUUGGUGGGGUAGUGGCCUACCAAGGCGGCGACGGGUAGCCGGCCUGAGAGGGUGACCGGCCACAUUGGGACUGAGAUACGGCCCAGACUCCUACGGGAGGCAGCAGUGGGGAAUAUUGCACAAGGGGCGCAAGCCUGAUGCAGCAACGCCGCGUGCGGGAUGACGGCCUUCGGGUUGUAAACCGCUUUCAGCAGGGACGAAGCUUUUUGUGACGGUACCUGCAGAAGAAGCACCGGCUAACUACGUG